rnacentral:rRNA from 1 species
UACGUAGGGGGCAAGCGUUGUCCGGAUUUAUUGGGCGUAAAGAGCGUGUAGGCGGCCAGACAGGUCAGCUGUGAAAACUCGAGGCUCAACCUCGAGAGGUCGGUGGAAACCGUCUGGCUAGAGUCCGGAAGAGGAGAGUGGAAUUCCCGGUGUAGCGGUGAAAUGCGCAGAUAUCGGGAAGAACACCCGUGGCGAAGGCGGCUCUCUGGGACGGUACUGACGCUGAGACGCGAAAGCGUGGGGAGCAAACAGG